rnacentral:lncRNA from 1 species
AUCAUGUUUAAUUUGAGAAUUCAUUUCAAUCCAAAGCAAAACAGGCUGUUUCUUUUAUUCUAUGGAUCCUGUUGGACUGAAAAAACAGAUCUCUAAUUCCAUUAUCAGCUUUGUUUAUUUAUUUAUUUUUACCAUUUUUAUUUAACUAACAGGCAUUACAUCAUUAACAUUUCAGGGGGUCUUUCCCCUUUAUUUUACACAUCGUAAGGUGUUGGAUACGGCUCCCUACCACAUUUGUAGCGGCUAACUGUUGUAUGGUAUCUCCAUGUUAUGCUUUCUCUGGUUAUUGGAUCUUUUUUUUUUUUUUACCAAUGUAUAUCGCUUUGUUCCAUUUGGAUCAAUGUAAAAUCCUGCAAUAAGCAUUGGAUAUCUGGGGAACUCUUCCAGCUUGUCCUUCAUUUUCCUUUAAAUGAUGUUCCACCAUCAUCUCUCCCUGUUUAUCAGCCUACAAUUCCGAAUCCCUUAGACAUGAGAUGAACUAAUAAGAUCCUUGCUUGUAGCUCAGAUCCGGCAUGAAAUUUUUUACAAAUCAUAACCCUAUUGGCAACUAAUGUACCAAAAAUAAUGAAAACUCGUCGACUUGGCUUCAUGAAGAUUUUAUUCAAAGUUACGGGAACCCCAGCUGCAGUAAUGGGGAAUCCUUCUCAAGCUGGAUGUAGAACAGAAAUCAUUGGGAGUGUAGGGAGUCAUUAAUUCUUAUAUAAUUUCUAUCUACGGGGUUCAAAUUAAAAGGAUGGAUUCAACAAGGUCAUCGCUAGUCCCAUGGCAAUGACAUUCUAGCCUGUAGGAUUUCUAUUGCAAUCAGCUUAAAGACCUUUGAGCAUUGAUACGUGAAGUUGAAUCGUGAAAAGCAACUUACAGUCAUCCAUUGUCCAAAAUAAAAGAUUAUCAAUACAAAUGUAUAUCACUGCACUGCACUACUACAGCUAUCCUGUACUUAUCACAAAACAGAUGCCUGCUUAACCAUGUUAAAAAGUCAUGAGUCGGUGGCAGUAUUCACAGGUUAUUUCUUCCUAGUAAGACCUAUUGCAGUAGCUAUUAAUAUAUCUUGAAGAAAUUAUAAAGCAGCUAAAAAAUUCAUGUUUCUCUGCAGGGUACUUGCAUCAUAAUGGAUCCUCCACACUAUAGGUAAGCAAAAUCAGGUUUCUAAAAUACGUAUCAUCUUUCGCAGCCAAUAGCAAGAUCGGGAGGGAGUGAAGCAGGAUCAAGUUCCCAGCAGUCUUUCAAAAGAUCAGGGACAUCAUCACCAGAAAGCUUCCGUGCAGGAAUCUGAUGUGAAAACAACCUAAUGUCCUCCUUUUCAAGCCAUCUAAUAGCCUGACAUCCAAUCUCCUGUCUCUUAAAUACCGUCUUGAAUCCAUCAACUUUCUCAAGAUAUGCCAUGCUCAAUCCAUGAGUUUCACUAUAAGUCGUUAAAAGCACAACUAUAUCAUAGCAGUGUUUAUCUCUAGCUGAACGAUUUCUUCCUGCUGCACCUAAUUUAGCUUCAUUAUAAAGAACCCAAACUGAGCCCUUCCUCGGAUAAAUCCUAUAAAAUUCCUUUGCUGCCCUUUCACAUUCUACCAUGUGCGAAAAGACAUUCACAGAGUUAAUUGAACUCUUCCUGGCGACCUUAAAUCUCCCACAGGAUACAUGAAAUCCCAUUUCCUCCCAACUAACUAACUUGUCAUCCCCAUUAUUCUGAGAGUCCAACCAACUCAUCUUCACUUCAAAUGGAUUUACCGAAAACACUUCCUCAAUCAAACCAUAAUGCCUAGGCAUUCCAUCAUCAUCAUAUAUAGCCCACACUUGCCCUUUCUUAAAAUUCCUCUCAGAUCUAUCUUUAUAAAAAUCAUAGAAAUCCAAAUCCUCCACAUCCACAAUUUCCAUGUCCCUACUCCUGGAACUACGGCGCUUCUCAAUGUCUGAAUUCACUCUCUUCCUAGAAGUCCCUUGCUUGGUGAGCUCUGAAUUUUGAUUCUUCUUCCCAUUCUCUUGAGUCUUAGCUUCAAAAUCUACACUUCUUUUCUUAGUUGAACGUGUCAUAAUCCCCAAAUUUACACUUGCCUCUGAAGGCCCCUGAUUCUCCAUCUCAAAAUCCUUACUCUUCUCAGAUGCCUUUGGUUUCUCAUUCUUUGAAAGACUGCUUUGUUUAGGUUCAUCUCUCUCACUUUCCUUCUCCUUUUCACCUGCAUCUUUCACCUUUUCUUUUUUAUUCAACUUUUCCCUUCUUUGAUUAGCUUUUUGCUUCAUUUCCAACUGCAUUUCCGCAAGUGUCAUUGUCUCCUCUGCAACUUUUACCCUCUUUGACUUUGACCUCUCCUCCAUCUCAUCAUCUCCCACCUUCCCACCUACAGACCUUGCCAAUAUCUGCCCAACAGUACUCAUCCUCCUUGAGCCUCUGCUCCUCAACCUCCCCACACCCCACUCACCACCAUCCACUUCCUUCCCCACAUCACCACUCUCUUCCUCCUUCAAAUUCUCACCACUAGCUUGCCUCUUUGAGCCUACACUUCUAGUUGUCUCACCAGUACCCUUUCCCCACUCCAACCCAACACCUUUGGGACCAUCCAUCUUCCUCUUCAACCUCUCACCUGGUUUAGAAGCCAAGACAUCCUCCUUUCCCGUACUUUCACCAUGACCAUCAUCUUCUCCAUCAACCUCCACAGCCAAAAAGCUCUUCUUACAACUUGGGCAGACCAAAUUAUGCCCCAAAUACGUCUUUUCAAACUUAUGCAACAACCUACAGCGCGAACAGGCAGUCCAAAAUGUCUCACCAACAACACCAUUAUUCCCUUCCAAUCCAUCAAGCCUUUCCUCCUGAAUCCUAAUCCUAAGCUUCAUAUCAUAUUCUUUCCUCCUGAUCUUAUCAGAAAACAUCCUAAACCCUUCACCCACUAGCUUAAACGCUUCUUCACAUCCUAAAAAAGGGUUCUUGUCAGGAUGCAAAAUCAAAGCUAGUUUUCUAUACUGUUUCUUGAUGGAGUUAAAGUGGGAAAAGGGUUCUACCUGGAGAAUUUUAUACCAAUCGGGAGCAUGGUUGGAUUUGGAAGCCGCCCGGAGAAUCUUAAAGGCAGUGAGCAUGGAGGAGAUGCCUUCGAGGUUAGGACAAAGACGGUGGGCUUUCUUGGCAUGUUUGAGAGCGGAUUGGAGGUUUGAAUUCUUGUAUUUGGUUUCAGCUAGUGCUUUCAAGAGUUGUGCUUCUUGCUCUGCAUCUGAGUGAGUCGUCAUCUCUGAGACAACGAGGAGAAGGGUUCCCUGUCGGUAGAGAAUAAAUUUUUUAGGUUAGGGGGUGGCUUAACCACAAAGUUGUGUUUUUGUGUGUUUCGCCGGUUUGAGUUCUGUAAUAAGGAAUCGUAAUGCCCCCUUUCUUUACUUUUUGAUUUCCGAUUUUUCCUGUUGGACAAUAAGAAAAACAAGCCAAAAUUCAGCUAACCACUUCCUCUCUCCUUUUCUUUUUUCUAUUAAAGAAUCAGCUGAAAAUUUUAGCUUUUUAAAUGAGUAAAACUGUUUUCUA